rnacentral:lncRNA from 1 species
AUGAAAAACUCAAGGUGGGCAACCCAUGGUAGCCUCGAGCAUCCUGAUUGGAGGUGGCUUCCAAAUCUAUCCCAUAUUGAUUUUUUUUUUUUUUUUUUCCUGGUACUAUUUGCUACCUAUAUCCUCAUUUCACUCGCUGCUGCAAUUUUAAUACAAAAGCUGCCAACUUUCAAUUAUUUUAUUCAUGAGAACUUCACCGUGGGAUUCUGGGCUCUUCCCGAUGAGCAGAAGAGUAUUCAGACUGGAGUUGGAGCAGAGAGAACUAAUGACCAGAAUUGUAAGAAUUGUACAGCUUUGUUCUUUCCUGUUGUGCUUCGAUCCUUCCAAAGCACUCGUGUGGCUCGAGGAUCACCCCGAUGCCACCCCAACAACAACUCUGUCCCCACUUGGUACCUGAGACAUCGGAAUUGCAUUUCCCUCUGCUUUGCAAACAAGGAAAAAAGAGGAAGAAGGCAAUUAUGUGAUUCACCCUAAUUGCACGGUAAGUCACUUGGUGUAGGCCUAGUGUUGCUGUUGAUCCCACAGGCUUGUCAGCAGGUUAAAAUUAGAUAAUUUGCUGAUACGGGGAGACUCCUGUCUGAAUAAUGUAGGAACUGUGUCCUGGGAUAUCUCGACUGGGUUUCAAGUAGGUCUAAAUGUCCUUGCUCAUAAAUUAUGAGCUUCUUCCAGAUUUCAUAGAAUCAUAGAAUCAUUGAGGUUGGAAGAGACCCUUGGGAUCAUCGAGUCCAACCAUCUCCCCUACUCUACAAAGUCCUCCCCUACACCAUGUCCCUCAGCACUGCAUCUAAACGGCCCUUAAACACAGCCAGGGAUGGUGACUCCACCCCCUCCCUGGGCAGCCUGUUCCAAUGCCCGACCACUCUUUCAGUGAAAAAUUCCUUCCUAAUUUCAUAACGUUCAUUCCCUUCUUCUGCCCGUUCAAACCGAAAAGGCUGGGCUGCCUGCGUUAACGUGGUGGAGAAACAAGCCUCUGCUCUCCGAGCCCCCUGGGGAUUAAUCCUUUUCAUCUAGAAGAAACCACAGCUGGUUUAUGGAAACGUUGAGGAUGACUAUGAGUUAGUUCAGCAAUUAAUAAGUUUGUUCAGCAAUUAAUGUGCGUUUGUCAAGCGUGGCUCAUCCGGCCGGUGCCGAAUGGGAGAAGGUUGCUCAUUGCCCCUUCACCAUCUCAUUACUGCUUUGCAUGUUCAAAAAAAAAAAAUAAAAAUAAAUAGAUAGGUGCA